ACGGGGUGCAGCAGGCGCGAAAACUCCGCAAUGCGCGCAAGCGUGACGGGGCUACCCCGAGUGCUGUCCGCUGAGGAUAGCUUUUCUUCGGUCUAAGGAGCCGGAGGAAUAAGGGGAGGGCAAGCCUGGUGUCAGCCGCCGCGGUAAUACCAGCUCCCCGAGUGGUGGGGGUAAUUAUUGGGCCUAAAGCGUCCGUAGCUGGCUUAGCAAGUCUCUUGUUAAAUCCAACGAUUCAAUCGUUGGACUGCAGGAGAUACUGUUAGGCUAGGGGGCGGAAGAAGCCGACGGUACUCCUGAGGUAGGGGUGAAAUCCUAUAAUCCCAGGAGGACCACCAGUGGCGAAGGCGGUCGGCUAGAACGCGCUCGACGGUGAGGGACGAAAGCUGGGGGAGCGAUCCGGAUUAGAUACCCGGGUAGUCCCAGCUGUAAACUAUGCAGGCUAGGUGUUGGCGUGACCACGAGUCACGCCAGUGCCGCAGGGAAGCUGUUAAGCCUGCCGCCUGGGGAGUACGGUCGCAAGACUGAAAACUUAAAGGAAUUGGCGGGGGAGCAC
rnacentral:rRNA from 1 species